UCCUCCCUCUGGCGGCGUGCUUAACACAUGCAAGUCGAACGGAAAGGCCCUGCUUUUGUGGGGUGCUCGAGUGGCGAACGGGUGAGUAACACGUGAGUAACCUGCCCUUGACUUUGGGAUAACUUCAGGAAACUGGGGCUAAUACCGGAUAGGAGCUCCUGCUGCAUGGUGGGGGUUGGAAAGUUUCGGCGGUUGGGGAUGGACUCGCGGCUUAUCAGCUUGUUGGUGGGGUAGGGGCUUACCAAGGCUUUGACGGGUAGCCGGCCUGAGAGGGUGACCGGCCACAUUGGGCCUGGGGUACGGCCCAGACUCCUACGGGAGGCAGCAGUGGGGAAUAUUGCCAAAUGGGCGGAAGCCUGAUGCAGGAACGCCGCGUGCGGGAUGACGGCCUUUGGGUUGUAAACCGCUUUCGCCUGUGACGAAGCGUGAGUGACGGUAAUGGGGAAAGAAGCACCGCCUAACUACGU
rnacentral:rRNA from 1 species